CGCUAUCACUCCUACGGGAGGCAGCAGUGGGGAAUAUUGCGCAAUGGGGGCAACCCUGACGCAGCCAUGCCGCGUGAAUGAAGAAGGCCUUCGGGUUGUAAAGUUCUUUCGGUAGCGAGGAAGGCACUUAGUUUAAUAGACUAGGUGAUUGACGUUAACUACAGAAGAAGCACCGGCUAACUCCGUGCCAGCAGCCGCGGUAAUACGGAGGGUGCGAGCGUUAAUCGGAAUAACUGGGCGUAAAGGGCACGCAGGCGGACUUUUAAGUGAGGUGUGAAAGCCCCCGGGCUUAACCUGGGAAUUGCAUUUCAGACUGGGAGUCUAGAGUACUUUAGGGAGGGUAGAAUUCCACGUGUAGCGGUGAAAUGCGUAGAGAUGUGGAGGAAUACCGAAGGCGAAGGCAGCCCCUUGGGAAUGUACUGACGCUCAUGUGCGAAAGCGUGGGGAGCAAACAGGAUUAGAUACCCUGGUAG
rnacentral:rRNA from 1 species